rnacentral:rRNA from 4 species
UUAAAUUGAAGAGUUUGAUCAUGGCUCAGAUUGAACGCUGGCGGCAGGCCUAACACAUGCAAGUCGAACGGUAACAGGAAGCAGCUUGCUGCUUUGCUGACGAGUGGCGGACGGGUGAGUAAUGUCUGGGAAACUGCCUGAUGGAGGGGGAUAACUACUGGAAACGGUGGCUAAUACCGCAUAACGUCGCAAGACCAAAGAGGGGGACCUUCGGGCCUCUUGCCAUCAGAUGUGCCCAGAUGGGAUUAGCUUGUUGGUGAGGUAACGGCUCACCAAGGCGACGAUCCCUAGCUGGUCUGAGAGGAUGACCAGCCACACUGGAACUGAGACACGGUCCAGACUCCUACGGGAGGCAGCAGUGGGGAAUAUUGCACAAUGGGCGCAAGCCUGAUGCAGCCAUGCCGCGUGUAUGAAGAAGGCCUUCGGGUUGUAAAGUACUUUCAGCGGGGAGGAAGGUGUUGUGGUUAAUAACCGCAGCAAUUGACGUUACCCGCAGAAGAAGCACCGGCUAACUCCGUGCCAGCAGCCGCGGUAAUACGGAGGGUGCAAGCGUUAAUCGGAAUUACUGGGCGUAAAGCGCACGCAGGCGGUCUGUCAAGUCGGAUGUGAAAUCCCCGGGCUCAACCUGGGAACUGCAUUCGAAACUGGCAGGCUUGAGUCUUGUAGAGGGGGGUAGAAUUCCAGGUGUAGCGGUGAAAUGCGUAGAGAUCUGGAGGAAUACCGGUGGCGAAGGCGGCCCCCUGGACAAAGACUGACGCUCAGGUGCGAAAGCGUGGGGAGCAAACAGGAUUAGAUACCCUGGUAGUCCACGCCGUAAACGAUGUCUACUUGGAGGUUGUGCCCUUGAGGCGUGGCUUCCGGAGCUAACGCGUUAAGUAGACCGCCUGGGGAGUACGGCCGCAAGGUUAAAACUCAAAUGAAUUGACGGGGGCCCGCACAAGCGGUGGAGCAUGUGGUUUAAUUCGAUGCAACGCGAAGAACCUUACCUGGUCUUGACAUCCACAGAAGAAUCCAGAGAUGGAUUUGUGCCUUCGGGAACUGUGAGACAGGUGCUGCAUGGCUGUCGUCAGCUCGUGUUGUGAAAUGUUGGGUUAAGUCCCGCAACGAGCGCAACCCUUAUCCUUUGUUGCCAGCGGUCCGGCCGGGAACUCAAAGGAGACUGCCAGUGAUAAACUGGAGGAAGGUGGGGAUGACGUCAAGUCAUCAUGGCCCUUACGACCAGGGCUACACACGUGCUACAAUGGCGCAUACAAAGAGAAGCGACCUCGCGAGAGCAAGCGGACCUCAUAAAGUGCGUCGUAGUCCGGAUUGGAGUCUGCAACUCGACUCCAUGAAGUCGGAAUCGCUAGUAAUCGUGGAUCAGAAUGCCACGGUGAAUACGUUCCCGGGCCUUGUACACACCGCCCGUCACACCAUGGGAGUGGGUUGCAAAAGAAGUAGGUAGCUUAACCUUCGGGAGGGCGCUUACCACUUUGUGAUUCAUGACUGGGGUGAAGUCGUAACAAGGUAACCGUAGGGGAACCUGCGGUUGGAUCACCUCCUUACCU